AUGCCUAAAGGAGGGAGAAAAGGGGGCCACAAAGGCCGAGCAAGGCAGUAUACGAGCUCUGAGGAGAUCGACACACAACACCAGGCUGAAAAGCAGAAGGCCAGGGAAGAAGAGGAACAAGGAGAAGAAGCUGGAGAUGGGGUUGCAGGUCCCGAAAAGGAGAAGAGAUUUCUAGACUCAGAUGAGAGUGAAGAUGAAGAUGACUACCAGCAAAAAGCAAAGGUGUCGAAGAGCUCAUCGACAUCGAGAACCCCAACCGGAUGGCACAGACAACCAAAAAGGUUACCCAACUGGAUCUAGACGGGUCAAAAUUGCUUUCAAGGAGAGAACUAGAAGAAAUUGAGAAGUAGAAGGCAAAAGAGCGUUACAUGAAAAUGCAUUUAGCUGGGAAGGCAGAGUAAUCCAAGGCUGACUUUGGCCAUCAUCUGGAAACAGCGGAAGGGGCCUGCCAGGAAUAAAGAAGAGAGAAGCAAAAGAUGAUGCCACGUUGUCAGGAAGACGAAUGCAGUCACUCUCUCUGAAUAAGUAAGCAUGACUGUGGGAGGAGAUGCCAGAGAACUGGGUCAUGCUGCCAGUAUCUCUGCUGUGUCUCUCCCACCCUGUGCCCUGGUGCCGCUGCAACAGCCCCUCGUGGCCAGGAGCCCCCCACAGCCUGGGGCAUCCUUUUCAUCCUGGCACAUAAAUUGUUUGGGGGAAUGCAGGGGGUGGGGCUGGGGGAGGAGCAGCUGCUAUCUUUGAGACAGAAAGAUGCAGGACAGCAUUUCAUAUGUAACCAUUUGAAUGUUUCCGCUGUUUUUAGAAUUCAGAACCCAUGUUGGGAGGGUGCCUGGGAGGUGGGGUAAGAAGAGCUUCCAUUUGUCUGGUAGAUUGCACGUUAGUGGGCGGUUGUGCCAGGAGGCAGCUGCUGACAAGCAAAACAUGUUCUACAAAUUCAACUUGUAUAAUUGGCAGAUUAAACCUGACAUUAUUGUAAAAAAAAAAAAAAAAAA